rnacentral:rRNA from 1 species
UAGGGAAUCUUCGGCAAUGGACGGAAGUCUGACCGAGCAACGCCGCGUGAGUGAAGAAGGUUUUCGGAUCGUAAAGCUCUGUUGUUAGAGAAGAACGUUGGUAGGAGUGGAAAAUCUACCAAGUGACGGUAACUAACCAGAAAGGGACGGCUAACUACGUGCCAGCAGCCGCGGUAAUACGUAGGUCCCGAGCGUUGUCCGGAUUUAUUGGGCGUAAAGCGAGCGCAGGCGGUUCUUUAAGUCUGAAGUUAAAGGCAGUGGCUUAACCAUUAUACGCUUUGGAAACUGGAGGACUUAGGUGCAGAAGGGGAGAGUGGAAUUCCAUGUGUAGCGGUGAAAUGCGUAGAUAUAUGGGGGAACACCGGUGGCGAAAGCGGCUCACUGGUCUGUAACUGACGCUGAGGCUCGAAAGCGUGGGGAGCAAACAGG